ACUUUGUCUUUAUGAUAAAUGUGAGAUGCAGUGUAUGGAAUGUCAAAUUUCUAGUAUGAGAAGUUAACGAUUUAAGUCCUUCUUAAAUGAGGCCAUUUACCCAUAGAGGGUGCCAGGCCCGUAUAACGUUAAUGAUUACUAGAUGGUAUUUCCAAAGAGUCGUGUUGCUUGAUAGUGCAGCACCAAGUGGGUGGUAAACUCCAUCUAAAACUAAAUAUAACCAUGAGACCGAUAGUAAACAAGUACCGUGAGGGAAAGUUGAAAAGAACUCUGAAUAGAGAGUUAAAUAGUACGUGAAACUGCUUAGAGGUUAAGCCCGAUGAACCUGAAUAUCCAUUAUGGGAAAUUCAUCAUUAUGAUUAUAGUAUUUAUUUAUUAAAUAAUGUAAUAAUGGUGCGCAUUUUUGCCAUAGAGGACAUUGUAAUCUAUUAAUAAAUGAGAAAUAUUUAUCAUAAGAUCAUCAUUAUGCAUAAGUUUAUUCCAAUUAUUUUGCUUGCAAUUUAARAUGGUAUAWRAUGUAUUUGAUUUGAUAAAGUAUUGAUAGAUUUAUUAAUCUAAUAUAAUGCUUAAAAUAUAUGUAUGUAUGUGCAUGUUAUUUUGUAAUGUGUGUGUAUGUAUAUUAUAUUUUUAUAAUGGUCAUACUAAUUUAAAUUAAUUUUUAUGUCUAAUUAUAUGCAUUUAUAUGAUUAACAAUGCGAAAGAUUCAGGAUACCUUCGRGACCCGUCUUGAAACACGGACCAAGGAGUCUAACAUAUUUGCAAGUUAUUGGGUAAAGAAAAAUACCUUAAAUAGCAUAAUUAACAUAACUUUUUUUAUAUAUAUAAAUAUGGGAUUAGCUUUUAGAUUGUAUUUUUUUAAAAUAUAAUUCUAUUAGUUCAAUCCCGGGGCGUUCUUAUAUAGUUAUGUAUAAUAAUAUUUUAUUAUAUUAUUUAUACCUCUAACUAGAGCGUACCCUGAGCAUAUAUGCUGUGACCCGAAAGAUGGUGAACUAUACUUGAUCAGGUUGAAGUCAGGGGAAACCCUGAUGGAAGACCGAAACAGUUCUGACGUGCAAAUCGAUUGUCAGAAUUGAGUAUAGGGGCGAAAGACCAAUCGAACCAUCUAGUAGCUGGUUCCCUCCGAAGUUUCCCUCAGGAUAGCUGGUGCGUUUAAAGAUUAUGUAAAAUAAUCUUAUCUGGUAAAGCGAAUGAUUAGAGGCCUUAGGGUCGAAACGGCCUUAACCUAUUCUCAAACUUUAAAUGGGUAAGAACCUCACCUUUCUUGGUACGAAGGUUGUGGUUGUGAUAUAAUGUGCCCAGUGGGCCACUUUUGGUAAGCAGAACUGGCGCUGUGGGAUGAACCAAACGUAAUGUUACGGUGCCCAAAUUAACAACUCAUACAGAUACCAUGAAAGGCGUUGGUUGCUAAA
rnacentral:rRNA from 1 species